GCUUUUAAUAAUCUUUCUGGUAUUCUAUUAUGAGCUGCCUGAGUCACGCCUCCACUUCUCAAACUAUGAAGGCCAAAUUUACUUUUAUCAAAACCUGCUUGACACAAAGCAUCUAAAAGUAGCUCUCUUGCUCUAGUGUAUGAUAUAGGUUUGUUAAUUUUGCAUAACGCAUAACUAUUUUUACUUUUUAAGAAUGUAAUUGCUCUAAAUACAUAUUCGCUGGAAAUCACAGAAAUAUUUGUUAAUUUUAAAUAUCUC
rnacentral:lncRNA from 1 species